UUCACCUUCACAGCCUCCCAUCUCUCUUUCCUCUGAUGAUUUGAGAGAGAGAGAGAGGAGUAAACUAGAAGUGCGCCAGGCAAACCCUUAUAAUGCCCACACUACUCUUUAAUCUUCUUCUUCCUUCCUUCCUUACUUAGAUCCUAAAUCUCCAAAACCCCAUUCUUUUUUUGUUUUUUAUUAUUAUUUUUUUCUUUUACUUACCCUCAUGUAAACAAGCCUUUUUUCACUAGAUUUCUCUAAACCAAUAUUUAUUGGUCCUCUUCCUCCAAAUUUUCAGGAACUAAUGGGGAAAAGGGUUAAGAAGAAUCGUCGAGUACCUCCUAAGGAGAAAAAGGUUGUGGCAGCCCAAUCUCCAAAAGUUAUACCUCAAGAGAAUAAUGCUAGUUUUGAAAAGGUUGAUGAUGGAGUUGCAGUCGUAAAAGAGAGGAAAUCAUGCCCCCAUCUUGAUAAAGGUAUUUACUUGGAUAAAUUGUUGGCUAAAUUAAGGUCCUCGGGGCCUAUUAGGUGUGAAGAUUGUAGGGAAGGUGGAAAUGAUAGGAGAGGGAGUAAGGGAAAGGGUAAACAUGGGAAGAAGAAGGGAAGUGCUUCGGUGGAUUCAAAAUCUGAGUCAAAAGCCAUUUGGGUUUGUUUGGAAUGUGGACAUUUUGUGUGUGCUGGAGUUGGCUUGCCAACAGCUUCUACGACCCAUGCAAUUCGUCAUAUUAGACAAACCCGUCAUCACUUGAUGAUUCAGUGGGAUAAUCCUCAAUUGAGGUGGUGCUUCGCGUGCAGUACAUUCAUUCCAGUAGAGAAAACGGAAGAAAAUGUUGAAAAUAAAGAUGCUUUGUCUGAGGUUGUAAAAUUGAUUAAAGAACGAUCAUCUGAACCACCAGCAGCUGAUGUUGAGAAUGUUUGGUUUGGAAGUGGCAGUGUUACGAACGCAAUCAAAUCAGAAGGAACUAUAUCAAAUGGCUUGGAUGAAAAAAGUGGCUAUAUGGUUCGGGGUUUGGUUAAUCUUGGGAAUACGUGCUUCUUUAAUUCAGUAAUGCAGAAUCUUCUGGCUCUGGAUAGACUAAGGGACUACUUCUUGAAUCUGGAUGCAUCCGGGGGGCAACUAACUAUUUCUUUGAAAAAGCUUUUUGCUGAAACAAAACCGGAGAUGGGAUUGAAAAAUGCUAUCAAUCCGAAACCCUUUUUUGGGUGCAUUUGUGCUAAGGCUCCCCAGUUUAGGGGCUAUCAACAACAUGAUAGUCAUGAAUUGCUUCGUUGCUUGCUUGAUGGGCUUUAUACAGAAGAGUUGGCUCUGAAAAAACACAUUAAUGCUUCUAUAAAUGAUGUAGUUUCGGCAAAUCAGGAUCUUACUUUUGUGGAUGCUGUAUUUGGGGGUCAAAUUUCGAGUACUCUCUGUUGUGAGGAAUGUGGGCACUCCUCAACAGUGUAUGAACCAUUUUUAGAUCUCUCCCUUCCAGUUCCAACUAAGAAAACCCCAUCUAAAAAGGCUCAACCAGUCUCUCGAGCCAAGAAAACAAAGCUGCCACCAAAAAAAGUUGGCAGGGCUCGGGGAAAAGUUAACAAAGAUGUAGAUCGGUCACCAGCUCAAGGUGUUACGACUUCAUUGCCAAGCAGUGAAUCUCCAGGCCUAGGCCAUAUGGUUGUGCCUCAAACAGAAACCAUGGUGGCAUCUUCCAGUGAUUCUUUACUAUCUGGUGCUGUUGGCACAAGUGCCGAGGCCAAUGAACUCAGUUCUGCUUCACAGAAUCUCUUAGCUGUUGCAGAGUCUGAGAAUGAGCAAGUAAUGGAGAAUGCAGUGAAGGAAAAUACAGGUGCGGCAGAUGAUUUUGCUUGGAUGGAUUACCUUGUAAUGGAGAAUACGCUGCAGGAAAAUGCAGCUGGGGCAGAUGGUUUUACUUGGAUGGAUUACCUUGAACCAGGAACAAUAGCUGUUGAGAAUGAUUUGAUUUCUCAAAAUAAUGAUAUUUCCUUUUUUCAAGAUUCUGAAGACAAGAAUCUGGUUCUGAAUGAAGCUUUAGCAGAAAGUAGUCAGGUCUCUUUACUUGAGGGGGAACCAAAUUGGAAACCACAUGAUUCUUCUGGAAACCUUCAGGAAGAGGGGCUUCCUUUGCUGGUUCAAGAUUCUGAGGUUCUGUUGCUCCCUUACAAAGAAGAAAGUACCAGUUCUAAAGAGAGUGUGAGAGAAAACGAGGCCUCCUCAUCAAAUGUUGGCCAUGGACAAGAGGAAGUGGAGUUUGAUGGCUUUGGUGACAUGUUUAAUGAGCCCGAAAUUGCUGAAGGGCCCAGCAUUGGGCCCUCUUUAGCAAAUGAAGUUGCUGAAACUGGUUUUUUGGCUGGGAAUAUUAGUGAUUCUGAUCCUGAUGAGGUUGAUGAUAGUGACUCUCCAGUGUCUGUAGAAAGCUGUUUGGCUCACUUCAUAAAGCCAGAGCUUCUUUCUGACGAUAAUGCUUGGAAUUGUGAGAAUUGUGCAAAAAUUCUGCGACGUCAGAAGUUGGAAUCAAAGAAGAAGCAGACUAAGAUGUCAAAGAAUUUAACCAAUGGUGGUGAGACUCAAAGCCAAUGUGAACCACCAAGUUUAGAUAAAGAAUUCCCUUGUCCUAAUGGAGUUAGAACUAUUAGUAAUGGCGAUAUCAGUAAUUCUGGUGAAAGCUUGGUUUUACAUAACAAGAUAACUGAUUCUUUGAAACAAAAUGGUAUAAAACUUGAAAUUGGUCAAACAGGUGAGCUAAAUUCAGUUGUGUCUAAAUCUGAAGAAGGUAAAUCUGAGAUAGAAGAUGCAAGCCUGAUGAAAUCAGGUUCUUCAGUCUCCUCUAAAUCCUGUGGUCAAGAAGAAUCUGGUGGUAUCCAACCUGUUGAUUCUUGCAAUGUUGAAAAUCAUAGUGAUAAUGAUAAAUUUCAGCAGAGUAAUUCACAGAUGGCCGAAAACUGUCAAUCAGGGGAAAGUGAAGAUGAAGAGAUAGACUCUAAAAACGUGAAGGUGAAGAGAAAUGCAACAAAGAGGGUCCUCAUAAACAAGGCUCCACCUAUUCUAACUAUUCAUUUGAAGAGGUUCAGCCAAGACGCUCGUGGUCGCUUAAGUAAAUUGAAUGGCCACGUCAAUUUCAGAGAAACAAUUGAUCUUAGACCAUAUGUGGAUGCCAGGUGUGAGGACAUAGAUAACUGUAUUUACCAUCUGAUGGGGGUUGUGGAGCAUUCGGGAACAAUGAGAGGGGGGCACUACAUUGCAUAUGUGAGAGGAGGUGAGAAGAGGAAAGGGAAGGCAGAGACCGAAUAUGUGAGUUCUCCGUGGUAUUAUGUCAGUGAUCAUUAUGUGCGCCAAGUAUCACUUGAAGAAGUUCUUCGCUGUGAGGCAUACAUCUUAUUCUAUGAAAAAAUUUGAAGGGUUUUGUUCCAUACUUGUUCUGUUUCUUAAAUGACAGAAGGGGGUAAAGUUAGAAUUGCACCCCCAAAGGAGAGAGACAGAAAUACAUGACAGGCAGAGGAAUUCACUUAUCAAAUUAUUACAUUGAUUGUUUUCCAGAUGAAUAUUUUGAGUCAUCCAUCUUAUGGAUUUCCCAAGGGUUUUGUUUCUUAUUUAUGAAGCUGGAGCUAAAAGUUUUGCAUAUCUUAUGAUUUUGCUCAUUAA